rnacentral:lncRNA from 1 species
AGGCAUUCUAACAGGCUUUGAAGACUGAUUUUACCACAUGUCAUAUAUGUGGCCUUGAAAUGAAAACAUGAUAUGUAACUCCCGUGCCCAGGAAAAAUAUAAGAAUACAGGCCACACAUAACUUGGAGUGAUGAUUUAUUUUAUUCCCAUUGCUGUAGAAUGUUGAUAUCCAUGGACUAAGUUUGCUCAAUAUUCUGCUUAAGGGUUAAUCUUUCUGAAACUAAGUAGGUAUGAGCUCUGUAAACUGAUAUUCCUGUUAAUGUACAAGUGUUGACAAGACUAGAAGCUUUUCAGUUAUUUAUAUGUAAGCUGUAUUUUGAACCAUAUCUACACAGAUACCAACCAUUAAUCUACAGCAAAAAUUCACAAUUACUAACUGGUUACUUUCUUUUAUGUAUACAUACGCACUAUAUGAAUUUUGUUUUUUGGUAACAUAGUUAUUUAAGUACAGACAUUUAAUUCUCCCCAGUCAAAAUGCCUCACUGAAUUAUCCAGGAAAUUAUAAAACUGGAAAAAAUAUCUCUUAGUUAAAUAAACCAAGAAAGUAUAAAGGGUAUAUUAGAAACUUUGAGAGUCUGUGCUUUCUCUCUGAUACAGUUUAGAUGUAUGAUCCUGAAGAAAGGCAUCAGAGAUUUUACUUGGGUACAAUUAAUAUCCCAAUAUCCACAAAUCUGAACAAAAUAAUUACACAUAAUAUUUUAAAAAUA